AAAAAUUAUUUCUUGUAAUCGAAUGGAUUAAACAAGUGCAAAAAUGUUUGAGAGUGAUCUUCAAAUUCAUUGAUUGGGAAACCAUGGCAUACAAACUUCAACAAGAGGGGAGGGGAAAAAUACAUGCAACAUUGUGUGAUUUGCAGUAAAAAUAUUGAAUAUUCAAGCUAGGGCGGAUGGAAUCACCUUCCGUGAAAUAGCAUAUUUUGAUUUUCAGUUGGAAUUUUUUUAACUAACAAGUUUUCAGAUCCAAAUUUCCCAAGUCGUUGCAGUGGUGGACUUGGGGCAGUUGCGCGUCGUUUCUUCCGUUGGAAGCUAUUGAUUUUGUCGACAACCAACACAGAGAGAGGAUUCAAUUAAUCGAGAAUGAGGAGGUGCUCUUGCGACUACCGGUACCUCCUCCUCGUCGCCGUGCCGUUCAUCUACAUCCAGAUGCGCCUUUUUGCCACACAAUCAGAGUAUGCGGAUCGCCUAAAUGAUGCUAUCGAGGCAGAAAAUCAGUGUACAAGACAGACACGAUUACUGAUUGAUCAGAUUAGCUCACAACAAGGACGACUUCUUUCUCUUGAAGAAGAAAAGAAACGCCAAGAUCUGGAGUGCAGCCAGUUGAGAGCUCUUGUUCAAGAUCUGCAACGGAAGGGUGUUGAGAAACUGGUUGGUGAUGUACAGGCUCCAGUAGCAGCUGUCGUAGUUAUGGCCUGUAACCGUGCUGAUUACCUUGACAGGACUAUUAAGUCAAUUUUGACGUACCAAAGUCCUGUUGCAUCAAAAUAUCCCCUCUUCAUAUCACAGGAUGGGCCAGAUCCAAAGGUUAAAAGUACAGCAUUGAGUUAUGAUCACCUAACCUACAUGCAGCAUCUGGAUUAUGAACCUGUGCAUACAGAAAGACCUGGGGAGAUGAUAGCAUACUACAAGAUUGCACGGCAUUAUAAGUGGGCACUAGAUCAAUUGUUCUACAAACAUGAAUUUAGCCGGGUGAUCAUCCUUGAAGAUGAUAUGGAAAUUGCUCCUGAUUUCUUUGACUUUUUUGAGGCUGGGGCUUCCCUCAUGGACCGUGACAAGUCCAUCAUGGCAAUUUCUUCAUGGAAUGACAAUGGACAAAAACAGUUUGUACAUGACCCUUAUGUGCUUUACCGCUCAGAUUUUUUCCCUGGCCUUGGGUGGAUGCUUACAAGAUCCACAUGGGAUGAACUUUCUCCUAAAUGGCCAAAGGCUUAUUGGGAUGAUUGGCUGAGACUGCAAGAAAAUCACAAAGGACGACAGUUCAUUCGCCCAGAAGUAUGCAGGACAUAUAAUUUUGGAGAGCAUGGUUCCAGUAUGGGUCAGUUCUUCAAAAAAUAUCUCGAACCAAUAAAAUUGAAUGACGUCCAGGUUGACUGGAAGUCAAUGGACCUGAGCUACCUGGAGGAGGACAAGUAUGUGGAGCACUUUGCUGAUUUGGUAAAAAAAGCGACUCCUAUUCAAGAAACCAAUGCUUUUCUGAAGGCAUCUAACAUAAAAGGAGAUGUCCGUAUUUUGUACCGAGACCAGCAAAACUUUGAGCAGAUUGCAAGUCAGUUUGGUAUAUUUGAAGAAUGGAAGGAUGGUGUCCCAAGAGCAGCAUAUAAAGGAGUAGUAGUUUUCAGGUAUCAAACACCGAAACGUGUGUUCCUUGUCGGUCCAGAUUCUUUAGGACAACUGGGAAUCAGAUAGACUCUCAGUGAUGAGAUGCAUAUUCAUUCCAAUAACUUGAUGAGAUUUUGACUGAACCAUAGGAAGAAGAAGAAGAAGAAGAAGAAGAAGAAGAGGAGUUUUGUGAAAUUUCAAGUAUCCUUCUAUAUCAUAUUAUCACAAAUACAAACUCAAAAUAUUUUUGGGUGACGCAAUUUGGUGUGGAUUGAACCUUGGAACUAAGGUCUUAAGAUUGACGAAUCUCAUUUCAUAUAGUAUCUAUUUAAUAUAGAUAAGUCUACUGUCUACAUAGGGUUUUAUUUGACCAAUUUGAAAGCAUUGACUUUUCUUUAUAUA